AGUGGGGAAUUAGGCUUGACAUGGUGGCAAAGCGGUGGGAUCAUUUUGAAUGAGAGGCACAGUCCUCAGGAUUUUAAAAGGACACAUUUUUCCUUUUGGCAGCCUGCAAAGCCAGGGAGGUUGCCUGAGGGGGAACAGACACGCAAAGGAUUCAGCCUGCAAAGCCAGGGAGUCCAACAAGCCGUUUAUUUUUUUUCUAGCUUCGUGGCAACGAAAUAGGCUAGAGUAGGGCAGCCCUGUGCAUGAGGUUGCGGUCGGGCACCAAAACCCUAGAGCAACCAGUCUUCCCAAACCGGCACGCCACGGAGAAGACAGACCCAGAUCAAGCCCGGACAUCUAGCUCCUUUUCAGAAAUGCAGGGAGGGGAUGGGGGAGCGGAGAUUUCCCUGAGGGAAUGGUCAGCCCUCCCGAACCUGAGAUCCAGGUGCCAAGAUGGAGGGAUGCCCUUAACCCAGACCAAGUUCUAACUGCAGAAGACAGGAAUUUCUUCCUACAGAAGAAGCGCUUGGAGGCAGAUGCAGAGGAGGAGCGCUUGGAAGCAGAGGAUAAGCGCUUGGAGGCGGAGGAGAGAAGAGAGGCGACGCUCUUGGAGCUGGAAAUGGUAGCGAAGUGCUUAGAAGCCGUGACAGAGCUGCCACUUAGAAAGGGCUAAGCUGGGUCAGCCAACUAGCCCUAACAGUCCUCCUCCAGAAAUCAAGGUUCUCCAGUUUACAGCCCAGGAGAGAGAGAACGCUGAAUGGUCUGAAGGAGUCUACUAAGAAGGGAAAAGCAACGGUGGCAUAGAAGAGCUCUUCCCCGGAGGGGUGUGUGUGAAAGGACUGAGGGUACCACACAGGAAAGCAUUCCCAAGUGCGCCUUCCUGAGCUCUCAAAGGGGUUCUGCACUUUGGAUUGAUAGAUGCUGCUACCACCCAAGUCAGAGAAAAGUUGUAACCGUGGGAGUUUAAUACAAGCUUGGAGUGGCCAGUAUUAAUUUUUAGAAUCCUUGCAGACUCCCACCUUCUGCACUGGAAGUGCCAGAGUGGGGAAUUAGCCUUGACAGAAGUAAAGAAAAAAUGUUUAUGAAAGACACUUCUCAUCUCACCCACCAGGGACAUAUGACAUCUUUUGGUAUGCAUUAAAAGCCCAGUCUGCUGUGAGGAGGGAAACCAGUGCUGCAGUUCCUGUUGUGAGGGAGGGUUUUUUCAUAACCCUUUAAUAAUGCAGCUGCCUCCAUAGAAGGGGGUAGUAAGAAAGGAGCAGAAAGCUCAGCUCCACAAGAUGACUCAUUCCUAAAAAGAUAUGGAGCAAGAGGAGAAGCACAGAGGAGAACAGACAGACAAAUUUGCCCAGAAGAGGGAGGGAAACAAUUUAAGAAUGAGACUGCCAGAUUCCCCUCUGUUGAAUUAACUGGCCCUGUUGUCAUAUGCAUCUCUGCCCUAAACAACUUGGGCUCAGCAAUAGUCCAUUGCUCCAAGGAGGUGAGAAAGAUUCAUUGUUCAGCCCUCUGUCCUCAUUGUUGACUGGACUCCCAUCCAGAACUAAAGAGGACUGCUGUGACUGGCUGUGGUACCUAUGUUCCUAUUCCUGACAUUUCCAAAUAUCCCCCCUCUGAGCAGUGUCUGUCAGCACCUCAGAGGCCACUUCUGCAGCAAUAUUUAUCAUUUAAUCAGUUUUUAGAGUUAAAGAGUGCCCAAGGGAAGGAAAGACCUGGGGCUGGAAAUUUACUUGUGAAAAUCUAUCUGAGCACCCUAAGUAGGGUGACCAGAUGUCCUGAUUUUAUAGGGACAGCCCCGAUUUUUGGGUCUUUUUCUUAUAUAGGCUCCUAUUACCCCCCACCCUCUGUCCCGAUUUUUCACAUUUGCUGUCUGGUCACCCUAACCCUAAGGUUGCAGCAUAGGAUCUCUGUAUGAAGUGUAAGUUUAUGAAAAGCUCUUAUCUUGUUAUCCUCCCUGUAGGUUUUUGCAGCACAGCUUCAUCUCUCCAUAUGUAAGCAGAAUCAGAAUGAGCUCUCCCCUGACAUCUGGUGGUGAGCUGUGGAAAGGGACUUCAGGGGCUGAUCUCGUUUGCAUGGGCACACCCACCCUGCCUAGCAUGAUGGACUGCUUGCCCAAAUGGUCACUUUGG